rnacentral:tRNA from 5 species
GCUUCGAUAGCUCAGUUGGUAGAGCAAACGACCGAUAAUCGUUAGGUCACUGGUUCGAGUCCAGUUCGGAGUA